UUGUCUUUGGAGUGGAGAGGUGAAGGUCUCGCGCCGCUACACCAGUGGGUAAGGAGGGCAAUCACACUUUGGACAAGCCAGUCGUGCAUCACCACUUAGGGACUGGAUUUCCUGCUGCUCACAACACCUGAAUUUAAAAAUGUCAUCUUGAAAUGCACACACUGGCAAGAUUACUGGUGACUGCAGUGCUUCCUUGUGUGAGAUCUGUCUGUUAAAAGUGAACCAGAAGCUGCUACACUGCCCCUUUGUAUGGCUGUCCCAGCACACUGAUAACACUGGUGGUGCCUUCAUUCCCUGGCCCUAAGUAUCCCUGACAGAGGUGGUUGGCAGCCCUGGAAUACUCAAUAGACAGAUGGAUCAAAGUUGGCUGAUCCAAGAUUGAAAGGAUCUGUGUUUUGUCAGACUUGUGCCAGUGGCAUGUGAUGAAGGCACUGCAAUUACUAAGUGCAAAGGUUUCUCACAGAUGGUGUGCAUUAAUUAAGAAGUUGCUUGGAAUUCAGGUAUUUUUGUAUUUUUAAAAUGUGGUCAGAUAUCUGUAGGAUAGACCAAUCAAAGAUCUAUUUCAGAAUAUUGCUUGUCCCAAAUGCCAGGAAAGGGAUUUUCUGCAACAAUCAAAUAUCUAAUAAAAAAAUAAAAGUUUAUAUAAAUAUAUUUUAGACAAGUUUCCAGUCCUGUCAUAUUCAUCAAUCAGCAAUACAGAAUUUAGUCAUUAUAUACAGUUACAUAUAUAGAUAUUACAUUCAAAUAUGUAAAUAUUUAUGUAUAUUAUUACAAAUAAUAAAGCUUGGUACAUUUUUCUUAACAGAGCUGUAUGUACUGACAGUUUAUAUCAGGUUAGUAGUGCAUACAUAGCCAAGUAUAGAAUACUGCCAUAGGUUUAAUGCUAGAAUUCCUUAUUACAAUUUCUUUAAAGUUGGUUUCAUUUGAUAAAAUUACUAAAUGUGGAACAUAAAGGGAAGACUUAGCUUUGUACUAGAGAGCUGUCACACGCUGGGGAAGCUGCCGUGGUGAGUAGUGGCCAGGCACAAUUUUUUGUUAUGAUGAUAGGCAGACAAUGCUAUGGCAAUACAUAAUUGUGAUAUAUGUCAAAUACCAUAUUUUUAUAUACAGGUAUUACAAUACACUGAUACCAAUCCACAGAAUGGAAGAUAAAUGUCAUAAAUCAUUUCCUCCUA